rnacentral:lncRNA from 1 species
UCCCCCUAUUAUUAGAUUUUUUUUUUUUAGUAUUUUAAUCUCCAAAGUCAAUUUUCUUGUUUAUCAAUAUAAGAUAUCUUAAAUUAAUUUCCUUCCAUGAAUUGGGAUCAUGGGAAGAGAUGGAGAUUACCCAUCUAUCAUAUUGAUAAAACUCUAUUUUUUCAAUUUAAUAAUAUUUUUAUUUUUUAAAAAAUUACAGAAAAUAGAACAGAUGAAAAUCAUAUUUGAGCAAU